rnacentral:rRNA from 1 species
GAGUUUGAUCCUGGCUCAGAUUGAAGGAGGCGGCAGGCCUAACACAUGCAAGUCGAGCGGCAGCACGGGUACUUGUACCUGGUGGCGAGCGGCGGACGGGUGAGUAAUGCCUAGGAAUCUGCCUGGUAGUGGGGGAUAACGCUCGGAAACGGACGCUAAUACCGCAUACGUCCUACGGGAGAAAGCAGGGGACCUUCGGGCCUUGCGCUAUCAGAUGAGCCUAGGUCGGAUUAGCUAGUUGGUGAGGUAAUGGCUCACCAAGGCGACGAUCCGUAACUGGUCUGAGAGGAUGAUCAGUCACACUGGAACUGAGACACGGUCCAGACUCCUACGGGAGGCAGCAGUGGGGAAUAUUGGACAAUGGGCGAAAGCCUGAUCCAGCCAUGCCGCGUGUGUGAAGAAGGUCUUCGGAUUGUAAAGCACUUUAAGUUGGGAGGAAGGGCGGUUACCUAAUACGUAAUUGUUUUGACGUUACCGACAGAAUAAGCACCGGCUAACUCUGUGCCAGCAGCCGCGGUAAUACAGAGGGUGCAAGCGUUAAUCGGAAUUACUGGGCGUAAAGCGCGCGUAGGUGGUUCGUUAAGUUGGAUGUGAAAUCCCCGGGCUCAACCUGGGAACUGCAUUCAAAACUGACGAGCUAGAGUAUGGUAGAGGGUGGUGGAAUUUCCUGUGUAGCGGUGAAAUGCGUAGAUAUAGGAAGGAACACCAGUGGCGAAGGCGACCACCUGGACUGAUACUGACACUGAGGUGCGAAAGCGUGGGGAGCAAACAGGAUUAGAUACCCUGGUAGUCCACGCCGU